AACCAGCACCUCAAGUGGUCAGGAUGAUUAUUGGGCCUAAAGCAUCCGUAGCCGGCUCUGUAAGUUUUCGGUUAAAUCUGUACGCUUAACGUACAGGCUGCCGGGAAUACUGCAGAGCUAGGGAGUGGGAGAGGUAGACGGUACUCGGGAGGAAGUGGUAAAAUGCUUUGAUCUCUCGAUGACCACCUGUGGCGAAGGCGGUCUACCAGAACACGUCCGACGGUGAGGGAUGAAAGCUGGGGGAGCAAACCGGAUUAGAUACCCGAGUAGUCC
rnacentral:rRNA from 1 species